rnacentral:misc_RNA from 1 species
GAGAGUUCAAAGAAUUUAUGCUCAAAUAUAAGAAUUUAUGUGAGUUAUUUCAACCUAAGCAACAAUCAGUCUAUUACCUGUUAAUUGCAGAGUCCAAAAUUAAACCUAGACACUUUAAGUAUUUUUACAAUGAGUUUCUGGGUAAAGUAUUCAGUAGAAAAUAUUGUAAUGUUCCCAUGCAUAAGACAGUGUACAAUACAAUAAUGAUUAAUCUUUCUGCUUUUCUUUUCACCUUUUAUCGUUAGAGGGAUGUUUUGGGUGGUGUUGUUAGAUAGAGAUUUUGUUUACUGUCCACUAAUGAGUGAUGACAUCACUAUCAAUCAUUGUUUGGCUCUUUCCCAUAUCUCCGUUUUAUUUAUGUCAAAAGAUCUAGCAGGAACCGAGGAUUCUGUCUUCAAAUUUUGUGCUUUUUAUAUUAAUUGCUGUGUUUAGGGCGUUGAAAGCUCUUCAAAUCUGAUUUGGAAUGCCUGUGCUAUAGUUUCUUAUUCUAAUUUUAUCACCAUUGUAGCAUGCCUUGUUUGAAAACCCCUUCCUUUUCUCUUCUCUUCUCUUAUAUAACCCAUUCUGUUCAUUAAGUAGUGACAUUUCCCUUUCUAUAAGGAAUUACAGGUUUCUUUGUUACAAUUUGGAU